AUGCAGGAAAGCGGCGGAAACGUCGUGUCCGCAAGGGCCCUGCACAGGUGGUGCAUGGCUGUCGUCAGCUCGUGUCGUGAGAUGUGGUUAAGUCCCGCAACGAGCGCAACCCCUGUCGUAUGUUGCCAGCAUUAAGUUGGGGACUCAUACGAGACUGCCGGCGUCAAGCCGGAGGAAGGUGGGGACGACGUCUGGUCAGCAUGGCCCUUACGGCCUGGGCGACACACGUGCUACAAUGCCCACUACAAAGCGAUGCCACCCGGCAACGGGGAGCUAAUCGCAAAAAGGUGGGCCCAGUUCGGAUUGGGGUCUGCAACCCGACCCCAUGAAGCCGGAAUCGCUAGUAAUCGCGGAUCAGCCAUGCCGCGGUGAAUACGUUCCCGGGCCUU
rnacentral:rRNA from 1 species